UUGGUGGAAACGUUUCGGGGUUCCGCAGCAUUCCUGUGUGCGUUUAAAGUCCCAGCGCAGCAGCCGGGUGCAGGCACAGCCGCAGGUGUGGCACGUUUGCAGCGCCUCGGUGCUACCAGACCCUGCUCAGCAAAACGAGCCGGACAGGGGCUCUCCGUGAGCCCUGCUCUCCCCGCAGGGCUUGUCUCCCUGCCAGCGAGGACAGAAAGCGCAAGCAAUGACGGUGUCCACAAAGACGGAUGGAGUCUGCUUGGCCUAUGCAGAUGUAUUUUGUAAUUUCUACAUGAUGCCUUUCACAUGUGGGCCUGGGAGGACUUUACAGCAAUUUUUCUGACCAGAAAAACACUUCCAGUGUGGAUGAAAACAGAACCAGAGAUGUUUUGAAAACAUGCAAAAGUUUGUUUCAAAAGUGAGCAGUUGAUUGUCAGCAAUCUGUCGCGUGCUGAGCGGAGGACAGUGUGGUGGAAAUACCUAUGAAGCAGUGAGAGCCUUAUCAAGGUACUGUACCAGGAAAUACACCGCUUUCUUUCCUACUUCAUGCACGAUACUAUGAUUAAAACCAACAGCACGCCUCAUCAUAACACGUGCCUUAUCAGCCCCACCAUCUGAUGACAGCAGCAGCCCUCGGGAGAGCAGACUGACAUCAUCCAAAACCUCAGCAGCUCAAGACUGAAGUAUGUAGCUAGGCUGCAAGCUGUGCUUGACUGUGCCGAUCUGUUUGUACUAAACUUGCAGGUACUUUGCUGGAGGAAAAGGAGUAUAAAAAUCAAGCCCAAACAAUGUUUCUGAAUGUUCCUGAUAGGCCGUCGUGCUAUUUAGCAAAUGAAUACAGCAGGCAAAGGAGGUUUUUGCCCUCAGCAAGUAUAACAAGUCUGCUCCACAGCUUUCUGUAGCUUUGUGGGGGGGGAAGGUCAAACCAAGACAUUGUCACUGCCUUGAGGACGGUGCCACUGGUGAUUUGGUACAGAGCCCCACUUCCAGCUGGGGCUGGAAUUCCCCCACAUUCAGUUGUGUGUGGCUGUGAGGUUUAGGUUCGUCCUGUAUUGGUGGAGCUCCGAAUCUCUAGAUACUAAUCUUCAUCAUGGCUGGUUCAUUGCCAGUCUUCUUGUUUGGUUACUGGUGGUUCACCGAGGCAAAUCAUAUUGGCUCUGACCUUCUGGUCUCCUUUCUAUUAUUUAAAAUGAGAAUUUCUACAGUCACAAAAAUAAGAAACAGAAAAUUGAGUAGGCUUUUCUUGUGUAACAUUCAGCAAACUUCUCUGGUUUUAAUUUGUUCUCCCUGUCCUGGGUUCUUCAAAACACCUUCUCUCAUUUACGUCAGCCUAGAUUUACCACACCCCAGUUAUUUCAGACCUGGAUAGCAGCAUGGAAAAAGAUUACCAGUCAUCUGGAGCUGCUUCCUUAUGCCUUGGACAAAAGAAGAUCGUAUGGGACCAUAUUCAUUCAAGAACUGCCUUUGUGUUUGUACAGAGCCUAGCAUGAGUGAGCCUACUCCUUCUUCCCGUUCGCUGUGCUACAAAAUUGUUCUUAAGAACACCCUCUGCUUUUAACCUUUGGGUUUUGGUUGGUUUGUUUUUAGCUGCAAUGCAAGCUUUCAGAGGGAAAUCAGGCCAGAUUUAAAUGCUGAAUGCAUGCAUAGCAACACAAGUAGGGCGAUCCAGGCACGGAUGCUGAGUGUCCAUUGAGAGCCCCGGGCCAUGCAGGCUGGGGGGGCUGUACUGCCUGCUGGGACCCCCUGGGCCCUGCGGCCUUUUGAGGUGUCCCCGCUCCUGUCACAGGGAUUUGGGGGGCUGCUUUGCCGGAGAGACCUUGUGUCGCAGGGCACGCUCGCUCUGCCAUAAACUCCCUGCGGGCUCCUUGCCCUCCCAUCGCCGCUGCCCGCCCGGAUCGCCCCAGCGAGGAUGGGCACCCAGCCACGCCAUGGGCAUCAGCUCCUCACAGCGCCUGCAAAGCGCUGGAAACACCCAGCCAAAGGAAAAUACACGAUUGUUAUGUUAUUGUCUCCGUGAAGGCUUGGCUCAAGGGACGGGCUGCAAAGACGUCUGGUGGAAUUAAGACUUGCCUUUUAAGAUAGAGCAUUAGAUAAAUCCAGCUGUGUUGUGGGACUGCUGGAAGCCUCCCCGAACAAGUGUGGGGAACUUGUAGUGGUUUUUGAGGCAUAGUGCUAUUGUCUAUUUUGUUGAACGUAUUUCUUUGUCUUGGUGAACUUUAAGGAGCACUGAGAACACAAUGUGCCAUAGGGGAAAGAGUUACAAAAAGACAUGAUUAGAAAAUGGAACAAUUUAAAAAUUUCUUCUCCUACAGUGCUUUCUAAAAUAUUCCUAUUCUGAAGCCCACUUGCUUUUUUUCUGCCUGAUACACCCAGGGCUCUUACCCGGCUCUGCGACAUUACUCAGUUAGUGCUUUAGUUGAUUUACUCUCAUCAUUGCUAAAAAUACUGUAAAAACCCACUUCUAAAUAAAUGACACAGUGAAAGGUUGUUGAAGUCGGGGUUUGGUAGGAAACACAGGUGGGAAUUUUCAGGUUUACAGACAGCUCCUGGUCCCACUCCUGAGGAGGAAGCGCUUUUGAAAGGCUCCUGUGAAAUAUGCUGAUGGUCUGAGCAUCCACAUCAUCAACUCCCCAUGACAAUUGCCACUGAUUGACCACUUGCUGGCUGUCUCCGCUGCAGCCCAGGAAUGGAUGAGUCAUGGAAACAGAAUUCCCCUUCACCCUGGCAGCCUCCCAGGCCCUCUGGGGGACUGCAUUGACAACAGAGAUGGAAAGCCAGCACUGCUUUUUUUGACACUGUGAAUCAUUGAUCAAACAAAACUCUUCUGCUUCCAUGGACUUGAUAUCAAGGCAACGUUUUUCAUUAGUGCUACCUGAACAAUUACAUACUAAGAGAACAAUCUCAGAUAGUGCUGGGCACAUUAUUUUGUCUUGAAAAUUGAUUCUGUGCUACUUUAGGCCAGAAACAAAUGUAUACCAUGUUUGCUAGAAGCUUUAUCAGAAGAUGCUGAAAACGAUUGCCAUGCGUAAGUGCAGCAGUAUUUAAAUACUGGUUUUCAUUUUCGAAUGAUUUUCUGACAUGGGGUUUGGUUGCAUUUUAAUAAUCUCUAAAUGGAACAACCCUGUUGGGAAAAAAAAUACAAUAAAAGAGGAGGAAAUUAA